rnacentral:rRNA from 1 species
AUUGAACGCUGGCGGCAGGCCUAACACAUGCAAGUCGAACGAGUGGCGGACGGGUGAGUAAUGUCUGGGACACUGCCUGAUGGAGGGGGAUAACUACUGGAAACGGUAGCUAAUACCGCAUACCAUCGGAUGUGCCCAGAUGGGAUUAGCUAGUAGGUGGGGUAAAGGCUCACCUAGGCGACGAUCCCUAGCUGGUCUGAGAGGAUGACCAGCCACACUGGAACUGAGACACGGUCCAGACUCCUACGGGAGGCAGCAGUGGGGAAUAUUUCACAAUUGGUGCAAGCCUGAUGCAGCCAUGCCGCGUGUAUGAAAAAGGCCUUCGGGUCGGAAACGACUGUCGUGUAUAAGACGUGACCCGCCGAGGGAGCACCGGCUAACUCCGUGCCAGCCGCCGCGGUAAUUC